rnacentral:lncRNA from 1 species
CGCAGAUGGCUUUCAGAAUAGGAAAGGAGCGUACCUUGUGUCUGAAAAGGAAGGAAGAGCGAUCCAAGGAUGCCAAUAGAGGAAGAAAAGUCGUGGCUUGCUCUGCAGGAGAGAGGCAUGCGCGCGGAUAGCACUGAAAGGGAAGGAGGCGCGCGGAUCAGGCUUUGCAGAAGAGGUAGGCGCGCGGACAGCACUGUAUAGGAAAUAUUUGCUGUCCAAACUUCCUAUUUAGAUGGAUCCUCUAUUGAAUUAUGAAUCUGGACUGUAUGAAGGCCAAGUGCUUAGAG